AAGCAGGCUGUCCUCACGGCAGAAACGAAACAGGAAAACCUCAUUAACACGCAGAAAGUUGCUCUAAACACUUGUUUCUUGGGAAAUUAUCGUCUUUUUACCACUUAUUUUUUACAAGAAAGCUUCAUAAAGCAAGAAAAGCAAGCCUUGUGUACGGAGUUUUCUUCAUUGGUUCGCUGGCUGUCGGCAUUCAGACACUUGUUGACAGGGGUUGGCAACCCAUGGAUCCGGAUCCGCAUGCGGCGUAUCACCGUCUUUGUUGUGGCUCCCUUCAGAAUGAGAUGUGACAGACACGGCAUCGCCCCCACACUCACCAUCAAUAUACCCCCCCAGAGAUGAAGGGUCAUCAUCAAGACCCAGUCUCCACGGAGCCCCUUGACCUUGCCUCAUUCCCCUGUCCUUCACAACAACAAUGGUUAAGGUAAUUGUCUCCCCCAGCUGGCCUGGCUGACAACAUCAAACCAGCCAUACCUUAAGACAAUGAAACAACAUUACAUCCACCUGGGGAGGAGGAAAUGAACAAUUAUAGAAACAAAGAUGAGUCCAAUUGAGCAAAAGGAACCGCUGAAUGAGACUGGAUUUUUGUCUUUAUUUCAAAAGCACUUAACCAUUCAAUCCAAAAUGACAUUUUAAUGCUUGUAGUGAAUCUACCAAGGUGAUUACCAUUCCAACAAUCUUUUGUCCUUGAAGGAUUCAGAUUGAAAACAACUUUAAUGGAUUGGCAGAGACUCAUUCUUGUUCAAGGAAGGCUUCCCAAAUUGUAAUCACCGUCUAUGAUCCUAAAAAAAAAUGGACUAACUUGUCAUGCUGAGGACCACCUGAGCCAUCAAAAUAAAAAGAACUUGAAUAAACGUAUUUUUGAAGGCAAGCUUUCACAGCAGCGGUCCCAAAACUUUCUGUUCGAUGUAAAACUUCGGAUGUCUGUAAUCUUUUGUUUUUGUUUAUUUGUGUCUGGUGUAAUUGUACUUUGGUACGUGACAAAACAUUUAAAAAAAUUAAAACAUAAAAAUAAAAAAUAGUAAAAUAAAGUAAAAAAACAUAUUUUGAAAGCAGGAAGUGAACAAAUGUAACAGUUACUGAUUGUAAAAGUACCAGAUGGAGGGGUAGGAUUUAAUAAGCUUUGCUUCUUCCUACUCCUUUUGGACAUGUGGAACUGUGAAGUGAUUGUGUGAUGCACUCAAUUGUAAUCUGAUGCAUGUUCAAAUGAAAUUUACAAUUGUUCAAUACAGAGAAGAAAUGAUGAAAUAAUUCAGUAUGUAUAUUUCCAUUUACCAAGCAAGACUAUGACCUGUGUUCCUGACAGAGGGCGUCGGAAGACGGACGAUGAAUCAGGGGUUUUCCUCGGUGGGAGGCGAUUGAUGUACCAAUUUAAAGUUAUCGAAACAAUCCUUUGUAAUACCUUUGCAGCUCUUGUAUCAGAUCUUGAUGUAAUGUUGCGGCAAGUGAAUGUAUGUUAUACUAAAAAUACCUUUCCAGGCUUUAACCACUUCGCCAGGUUUCUGCUCCCACAUGCAAAUAACGUCUUGGUGCCUCCCAAUAUACUCUUAAUUAGAUGACGUCAAAGAGAAGAUUAACAUGUUAUAUAGAAUAACGUUGGCUCAGCACGCCUCACAAAUGCAGUUAUACUUGAACAGACAGAAAGAAAGUAUAAAUAAAAAUAAACAUGCCUCGGAAGAUAAAUAGCAGCCUGAGCCACCUUUUCAUGGCCUCCAGAGAGAUGUAUGAUGUAGCUGUUAAAGGCUGAGUGUGGUACACUUUUAUUACCUUUUUCCUUCAUUUCUCUUAUCAUAUAAUAGAUUACACAUUUAGUUUUUCGAAACAAUUGUCCGGUUAACCAACAACAUUGGUAUAGUGUAUCUCCAUUAAAUAGUAACUGUGUAGCAAGGCAUAGGUUAUCAAGUUAAAUAAUGUCCCCAUAGUCACAUUCGCACUCCUGUUAUUAUUUGUUUACAUCAUAAUACGCAGGAUACGGGCUAAAUGAAGGAAUGCAAAAGCUAACCUGCUACCAACUUUCCCUCCCAAAAACAUUCAUUCAUUCAUUUUCUACCGCUUAUCCUCACAAGGGUUGCAAGGGUGCUGGAGCCUAUCCCAGCUUUCCUCCGGCAAGAGGCGGGGUACACCCUGGGCUGGUCGCCAGCCCAGCCAAUCACAGGGCACAUAUAGACAAACAACCAUUCACACUCACAUUCAUACCUAUGGACAAUUGCAAACUCCACACAGA